AUUGGACGCUGGCGGCAGGCCUAACACAUGCAAGUCGAGCGGAUGAAGGGAGCUUGCUCCUGGAUUCAGCGGCGGACGGGUGAGUAAUGCCUAGGAAUCUGCCUGGUAGUGGGGGAUAACGUCCGGAAACGGGCGCUAAUACCGCAUACGUCCUGAGGGAGAAAGUGGGGGAUCUUCGGACCUCACGCUAUCAGAUGAGCCUAGGUCGGAUUAGCUAGUUGGUGGGGUAAAGGCCUACCAAGGCGACGAUCCGUAACUGGUCUGAGAGGAUGAUCAGUCACACUGGAACUGAGACACGGUCCAGACUCCUACGGGAGGCAGCAGUGGGGAAUAUUGGACAAUGGGCGAAAGCCUGAUCCAGCCAUGCCGCGUGUGUGAAGAAGGUCUUCGGAUUGUAAAGCACUUUAAGUUGGGGGGAAGGGCAGUAAGUUAAUACCUUGCUGUUUUGACGUUACCAACAGAAUAAGCACCGGCUAACUUCGUG
rnacentral:rRNA from 1 species